rnacentral:ncRNA from 1 species
GUGUUGUAUGAAAGGCGAGAAGGUUAGCACUCCCCUUGACAAAUGUUCACUCUGGAAUAGAGUUACAGCCACUGUUUGCUUUCUGGCGACAUUUGCGUUGCGGAGCCUGUUCUUUU